AGUAUUUUAUAGUUUUCUGAGUACAGAUCCUUUGUCUCUUUCGUUAAAUUUAUUCCUAGGUAUCUUAUGGUUUUGGGUGCAAUUGUAAAUGUGAUCCCCAUUCUAUAGGUGGGGAAAGGGAGGCUCAAAGAAGUCCAGUUAGUGUCCCAAAGCCAUAGCUGGUAUAUACACCUGGGAUUUACAGACAGUAUAGCUCCAGAGCCUGCCCUCUGACUACAUGUUCUGCUAUACAAGGAGGCAGGGCUAGUGACUCAGGUAAAAAUUAGGAAGCAAAAAAAAAAAAAAAAAAAAAGCAAGCUUCAGGAAGUGGUGUCAGUAGGUCUGACUUGGGUUUCCUUUGUUGCCCUGGUUUGUCCCUCCCCAAGCUGUCUCUCUCUUUCUACUCAAUGAAAUUUCACCAUGGUCCUUAGAGGUCAAAUAAUGUCUUUAUUUUGAAGGUGUCAGUAUUUGACUUCUCUUCAUCCACUGUCUAUAUUCAUCAUCUCAGAGUGAUGUUGUGUAGUAGUCAAUGUUUUUCAAACUAGAGUUUUCAUAUAAAUUUUAGGGGUUCUGUGCUUUUUCUAUAGGAAUUUACGUUCUUUUUAAGAAAAUCUUAGAAAAUAUUAAUAUAACUAUACUUUGAGUCGCUGAGAUGAUCAUUUUGUAAUUAGCUCUUGUCCUACAACUUCAGAACCCAUAUUGCAUUUGUAUUUAUAUUUGCAUUGGCACCAAGAAUCCAAGUAUGUUUAUUGAUUUGGGCUCAUGGGAAAAGAUCAGAAGCUUAAGAUGUAAAUAAUAUAUCCAUACCAAGUGAAAGGCAAAUGGCUUCACUCAGCACAUAUUUUGUACUUGGUGCUAAGGAGAAAACAGAUACAGGAAGAAUCUAGAAUAUCAGUCAUGCUUUCAGAGAGAUUAUAUUCUUUUUGAGAAAAUUAGACUAUCAUAAAUGAAAACAUUUGAUAUGUUUUUAGGGCUAAAGUGGGUGAGGUAAAAAUGUGGCAAAAAUAUGAAGAAAAAAAAUUCUUUUUUUAGUCUAAUUUUCUCAAAUAGAAUAUUCUGCCUCAGCAUGAAUGGCCCAUUAUCGCCACACAACAGUGUUCUGAUUCCUUGCCCAUAUUGGGGAGUUGGAGAGUCAAGGCACUACAACCAUUCCUUACCCUGUUCAUCCUUGCCUCUCAUUAUCCACUGGGGUGGCAAAUGCUGUUAGCUUGAACCCCUUGGAAAAAGAUAGAAAACUGUCUUCCGCUGAGAAGUAUUUACUAAAUAUCCAUUAAAGCUCUAGCUGUUGUGAAUGCAAAAAAAAAAAAAAGUUCAUAUGCUUUCUUGUUAAGUGUGCCUUAGUGAACACAUUCCUUUCCCAUGACCAUAUCCAAUGCUGGAGUACACGGGAAACAAAAAUGAACAGAAUUAUUUAAGGGAGGUAGGGCAAGAAGAAAGAUAUCUUACCCUACGAGCAGAGAUUUCAGAAAGAAAGAAUUUAAUGAAAGAAUUUAAACAGUUUCUUUAGAAAGAAAAAAAAUGGCUUAGUCUUGAGGACACAUGAUACAUUCUAUUCCAUUCAAAACCCACUACCUACCUCAUCACCAAAUUGAAUGUUGAUACCAGUAUGUCUAUUGAGCAUGUAGGAGUAGAGUGGAAGGUGAUUGGGUCUGUAGUCCCAGCUAUAUUCUUAUCUCAGAAGAGGUGAAGAGAAGAAGGCAAUAGCUGGGACUCAGGUAAUGGGGGAAAAGAGUAAAGAGAGCAUCAGUUGGGCUACUAAGGACAGUCAUGCUGUCCUGUCUUUUUAUGGGCCUGACAGAUGUCUCUGAAUCUAACCAGAGCAGCAACUCCUCCUCCCUUAGAGGGAUCAGGGCUGGUAAGUUGGGCAGAGGAGGGUCUGGUGGGAAGAAGGGGCUGCAGAGUCCCUGCCUCUGAUGGGUUUGAGGAGGCACCAACAUGUAUGUGUUGUCAUUAUAGGAUCAAAGGUAUGUUAGAGUUAACACCAGUGUGAGAUUCUUCAUAGUGCAGAUUGUGUUGCUCAGCUUUUCAAGAACAGAAUUCAAUUCGUUUUCUUAGAGACAAUGAGGCUGAGAAAUCAGUUCACAUGCACAAAUCCCACAGGAGAUUGAUGCUCAAACUGGAGUGAUAAGGUAAUAAUUGAUAGUGGGAGAGUGUGACUGGCAUUAGCUUUACACACCAGGCACACUCUCCAUUAUAUUUGUACACUCAGGAGAUUAUAUUACGGUUACAAAGUUGCUAGAUGAGUCCCAAGUUUGAGUAGAAGAAUUGAAUGUUGUUGCACAAUAACUUGAUGAAUUGUCCUUCUCCAGUCUAAGGAUAUGUCUGUCAUAGGAGUCAAUACUGGUUAUCUAGACUUAGAGGACAGUCUUGUGGACAGUAAUUUUACUGUAAACUAGAAGCUUUUAUUAUUUUAUUUCUUCUUUUCAUUGAGAUAUAAUUGAUGUAACUUUGUAUUAGUUUAGGUGUACAACAUAAUGAUUCAGUAUUUGUAUAUAUUGCAAAAAGAUCAUAAUAUGCCUAGUUAACACCUAUCACUACACAUAAUUAUAAAUUUUGUUUGUCUUGUGAUGAGAGCUUUUAAGAUAUGCUCUCUUAGAUCAUAUGAUGUAGUUUGUAGAUCAUCUGACAAUAGUUAUUGGAUUGAUGCAUUGCAGAGAACUUUUUGGGGAUGCACUUUAGUUUUAUGUUACAAGUCAUCUCUGGCUCUGAGUAACAUUCUAGGAUGACUUGUAUCAGUGGUCAGUGCACAAAAUUUAUGUUGACAUUUAUUUAUUUAUUUUAAGAUUCUUUUUUUUGUUUGACAGAGAUAGAGCACACAAGCAGUGGGAACGGCAGAGGGAAAGGGAGAAGCAGAUACAGGGAACCCGACUUGGGGCUUGAUCCCAGGAUCCCAAGAUCAUGACCUAAGCUGAAAGCAGACGCUUAACCUGCUGAGCCACCCAGGUGCUCCUAUGUUGGCUUUUACUAAUUUCAGUUUCUUAAAGCAAUAUCUUCUUUCCUGGUCUCAUAAUUCUGGGUGUACCUUGUAUUUGGAGCUUAACAGUUCAAUAUACUGAGCACAGAUAAGAGCAGAAUACAAGAAAGACAGUGAGUUAACUUUGCCAAGUUCUGCCCUACUUACUGAAGUAGAAAAAGCCCCCUUUUCUACCUUAUGAAAUUGAGUUUAGUAGGGGUCAGGAAUGCCUAAGAACACAUGGUUGGAAGUGAAGGAUCUUAAAGUCCAACUUAGGCUUGAAUCUAAAGGAAGCACUUGUGGAAUUAAAAACUUAUCUCUUCUAAUUGAAGCAUUUCAUAUAGAAGGCAGGACUUCAGCUGAGUCCUGAAGGAGAAGGUAGGAGUAGGGAAAGGAGAAAAUUUUGAUUUAAUGAACAAUUCUGUAUUGCCCUGGCUAAUCCACCUCUUGGUUUUUGUAUUCAGUUCUGGCCACUAUACUUUUCAAAGAAUGUGGACAAACUGGGGUAUAUUUACAGCUGUGGUUCUAAUCUACCAUGUCAUAUUCACAGGAGCAAAAUAUUCACUUGGAUAUUUUUAGUUUCUUCCCAGGCUAUGACACAAAAUAAAGUAGAAGGUAAGUUAUUCUUAAUUCUGGGUACAGUUGCUGUAGUAAUUUACCUUUUCUUUUCUUAUUGAUCAGAAGUAUGAUGGUGUUGCAGAAUGAUGGUUGAAAUCCACUGACUUAAAGAUCAGAACCCAGGAUGGUGAUGGAACCAAAAUCAUGUUCUAUGAGGAAUGAUUCAAGGAACUAGGCAUCUUUAGAAGAGAGUGUUCGGGACAUGACCUCUUGUGAUUUUAAAGUUGUGAAUUUCCACCCUCAACAUCUCUCAGCUUCUGGGUUACACAAAAAUAAACGUGCUACUCUGUGGACAAAUGUCUGCAAAGAAAAGAAGAGUGUCCUCCUUUGUAACAACAGUGCCUGAGACUGCAAGUGCUGAAUUCUGUGGGUUCCUCGUCUUCUUGCCUUGUUAAUUGCUAACUGAUUUCAUCAUCCUCAGCUUCUGUAACCUUUGGGUCAUCUUCAAGUCCAAGAACACAGUAUACAUCUCAUUUCCAAACUCAAUUCUUCCCUGAAUGACAUGGGGAGACUCUGUAAACAGGUUGAGUUGUGAGUAUCAUUUAUAUUCAUUAGUACUAAUUAUUAUGUACAUGCAGCCAGAGGCUGAAACACAUCUUUUAUAAAUGGAAAGAGAGCAUAAAUAAAUGGCUACUUCUGCAUAUUAUGUUGACUAUGGUUUCUCUUCCCUUUAUUUCCAGGCUGCUAUGAUACCAUGUUCCACCUUCCCCCCAUAAGGGAACUUGUUCAGUAUUUCUUGUGUCUAAUUUCUUUUUGAUAGGAGGGCAAGGAAGGAUAGGACAUAAUCACUGAUCCUCUCAUUUGUGGUCUGUUACCCUUUCCCCCCUUUCUUUUGGUCUCAUUAUUUUAUGUUACCAAUACUUUGCAUGCCAUCAGAAUUAUGUUGGAAGGGGACCUGAUGAAUUCUACUUCCUUGAUCACAGUCCUCAAUGUUGAUGAGGGUGAAUCUGGCCCAUCACUGCCUGAGUGGCACUAAAGUCAGAGUUUUUUCGACAUGCACAUGGUGGCUGGGCCACCAGUAGCAACAAGGGUUAGCAGCCCUUCCCACCUGAUUGGCAGAUGGCAGUUCAGUUUUUUCUACUUUGCAAAGAUGUGGUCAGCAAAGGAACAGCAUGCCAGAAAGAAAGGGGUCAGCUUUUCGGUCCACUCCUUUUAAAAGGUUGCCAGCCUCUAAUCUAAUCCAGUGGUUUAUUUACUGCUCCUGUCACCUUUCCAAAGUGCUGUGAACUCAAAGAGUUUGUGUUUGCAUCUCAGAGGGCUUCUCUUCACCUUGGAGUUGGUCUCUUAUUUCCACUUUCAUUUCUGUUCAACUUGAAUAGUUGAGAACAAAAGUCUGAUGUGCUACUUUCAUUAUACAGAUAUCACUAUGGCUCAAUAUGAAAUGUGGAAAAAAAGUGUUAAAAUAUAUGAAUCCCCUGCUCAUUCCUUGAAAAGUCAUUGACUGGUAAUAGCAUCAAAUUAUUAUGUUAGUUUGCUUUCAGUUUCUUGGUCCAAUUGUAAUUUCAAAAUUGAAAGUUCCAUUUGUCCCCCCAGUGAACCAGUGAACCAGUUUUUAGAACUUGUAUCUUAAACUGUGGAAGCACUAAAUUUUGAGGAUAUCUACAUUAGAGGCAGUUCUGUCAUGCAAACUGAGGCCCAAACAGAAAAUGGGAGAUUCUCAGCUAAUUCCUCAGAGUAAGUUAAAAGAUGCAUCUGUAUUUAAAAUGGUAAAAUCAAUAGAACAAAAAUACAUCUAAGGGUCAUCUAAAGCAAUGGUGAGUUUUAAAAAAGCUAUUAAAAAGUACUUAAUCGUGUCUUUUUAGGUUUAUCUAUAUUUAUAAAGAGCGAUUUUUCAAUUAACAUACAUUGGUGUAAUUUGUUGAACCUGUCGAUGGAGGUUAGGGAUGAUUUAUCCUCCUACUUUCUUUGCACAUGCAAGCAUUAGUCCAAGAAGUUUAUGAUUUGGAGAAGAUAGAUAAGUCAACCUGGGCAGAGUGCCAAGCACAGGUUAUAUGGAUUAUGCUGAGAGCCAAGAUUGAGGGAGAGCCUGGAUAAGAGAUGGUACCAGAGCAGGGUGACCCAAACUCAGGCUGGCAGUUCAGGAUUUUGGGACAGGUCAUGACAUGCAGGAACCUAAAAACCCAUAUUUGUUCUAGCUUUAUUGUUGACAAGCUAUGGAUUCUUGAACUUGGACAUCAGGUCCUUUCUAGGCCUAAGUUUUUCACUUUACAACAUGGGAAUAACAAAAUCUGCUUUAUGUUGACUGUGAAAAGGCAAUGAGACCCAGAAAUAGAAUUGUUUUUAGAAUCAACAGCGCCUACUGAUCAGAAAGUGCAGCAUAUUGGCUUGGACUUUUUGCCAAACCAGUUUCCCUAGUCAUUUUUUAGAUAGUAUAAUGUGAAAUAUAAAAGUAAAAAACUAUGGGUAACACUAUGUUGUAUCACCAUUCAAAUUUAAGUCUCAUAAUGAUAAGGGUAAAUUAUAUAGCAGUAGCACAGAUAGGGUUUGUUGGGGUCUGAGGGAUAAAAUUCAUUGUACAGUAUCUACUUUAUUGUGGAAACAAAAACAAACAACAAAUUUCCAAAAGUUUUUAUUUUUACUGCUUGCCAAUUUCUUCAAUUAUCCUCACACUCGAAAACUGUCAUAGAGAUCAACAGCUUGAGCUAACUACAGGUCAGACGUAUAUUUGUUCAAAUACAAUAGGCUGCAUCUUGAUUUUUUAAACUAUCAGAGAAUGUGAGUUUUGCAGAGUCCACUGAGGAGGUAACAGUGUUGCAUUCUACCAUUUGCUCUGGUGGUUUGUAAGUUCUUGCUGGUGCUAGUAAGAGGCUCUGAAUUUUGAGACCUUUGUGGUUCUUUUUCUUUUUCUUUUUUUUUUUAAAGAUUUUUAUUUAUUUAUUUGACAGAGAGAGAGAUAGCGAGAGCAGGAACAGAAGCAGGGGGAGUGGGAGAGGGAGAAGCAGUCUUCCCGCAGAGCAGGGAGCCCGAUGUGGGGCUCGAUCCCAGGACCCCGGGAUCAUGACCUGAGCGGAAGGCAGACGCUUAACGACUGAGCCACCCAGGCGCCCCUUUGUGGUUCUUUUUCCCAGCAACCAUUUUUAUUUCCCUUUCUUCAACCAAAUUCCAUUGAAAAUCUAGCACAUUUUCCAAGUAACUGCUUUGCUGGUAGUAUAGCCGCUGUAUUAAAGUGACCGUUUCAAGUUGGCUAACAUGAGCACUGAAUAAACACAUAUUGAUAUUAUAGAACAAAAUAAUAUAUUAGCACAUUGCUCAUUUGUGCUCCAAUAGUCACCCUGAUACUAUUUGUCAUGUGGGGAGUGACAAACACAAUUACACCCAAGUGCUAAUAGAGUGGAAGGGCAAAACUGCCUGACCUCGGCAUCCCGGGUCGAUUUAAAUGUUUGAUGUCUCAUUGAAUUAGUAUCACAGUGUGAAAGACAAAGCUCAAACUAAUGGAAAUGAGCCUGGACAUGCAAUACUGCUGAUUGGGCUGACAUAAUUAGAAUAAUAUUCCACGCAGAGCUAAUAACAAGCCAAAGAAAUAAAUAACCAAGAGAUAACCUAAUUGCUGCAUGCUAAAACGUUCUUUUGAAUAUGCUAAGGUUAGCAUUUUCUAUUUACUUAUAAAGCACACUGAUGAGCUUAAAAGAAAAACGUAGUAAGCAUAGUGGAAGGGCUGGACACCAAAAUACACUGCCCCCUGGAGGGCCCAGCCCCUCCCUGACACCUGGUGACUGCCACCAGUAAACAUUGUUUGCAGGCCUACUCCAUGUCAAAGCACGUGUCUGGGAGAGGGAGAUGGUGACAAUGUGAACCAGACAUAUACUUUGCCUCCAGGAGCUUAUGGCCCCAUGGGAGUGAUGAGACGAGUAUAAAAACAGAGUGGGAGGAGGUCAGUGUGAGAAGAUGGAUGGAGGAGGGUUAAGGAAAUCCCGCUGUGGGAGACUUCACUUUCAGCAGAUGUGCAGAUUCUCUAGCCUGAAGACUCGAAUAGAAAGUACAGUAAUUUACUGGGGUUGUACUCUGGUUUCUUAACCUGAUACCUGAGGAAGAUUCCAAUUCAUCAUAGAUUCCAGUAUCCCAAGGAGGAAAGGCAAUAUUGGGAUUGGUGUGGUAAAUCUUUGCUUAUGCUUGAGGAGUACUAAUAAAAAUCCCUUCCAUUUGUGUUGAUUUUUAUAGUUUUCACAGUAGUUUCAUCUACACUAUUGCGCUCAGUUCCUACAAGUUCUAAGGCAAAGAGGCAUGCUCUAUUUACCUUAUUCUAAGUGUCCAAAGGGAAAUGAUGAGGUGCAGGAAAACUCUCAAAAGUAGACUUCUCUGGCCUCAUGGAAAUGAGAGCUCACAUUUAUUUUGGUUCAUUGUUGUAUCCCCAGUGCUGUAGAAUGCUGCCUGGUACAUAAGAGGUGCUGAAUAAAUAUUUGUUGAAUGAAUGCUUAUGUACUUUACCUUGGUUAUCUCAUUUAAACCUCCCAGAAAUCCGGAGGUGGAACUAUCAACAACUGCAUUUGACACAUGAGGAAAUCAGAGCUCAGAUAGGUCAAGUGACUUGCCCCAGGUCAAGCUAAAAAUUGGUGUGGCCACUUAUGACCCAGAGCAUGUGGUAGCUGUGAGUGUAGAUUCUUCUGAGGAAUUUGGUUAUGAAAGGAAAGAGGGAAAACAGAUUAUAGGUUGAGCUGGAGACAUGGCCUUGAGAUGGGGAUGCUAUGAAUAGAUUUCUAAGUAGGGGGAAAGCAACUGUGGCGAAGAAACUGUUGAGUCUCAUAGACUGUGAGAAGCAGAACUAGUGAAUUUACUGCCUUUAACAAACAGGAAACCUGAGACUAAAAAACCAAGUGACCACACAACUAGCAAGUGGCAAAAUAGGAAUUAACGUUAGGAAUCCUGAGGCUUGUUCACCAUUUCAGCAUUAUUUGCAUAUCCUUGGCUUGUAUACCAUCAAGUUUCAAGUUAUAUUUUCAUAAUAUCUUCACACCAAGUAGUAGGCAACAUGGAAUAAUGAAAAGAAGACAAGUCUAAGGAUUAAGAAUUAUGUGUGUCCUUGUCUCAGCUUUGCCACUGAUUGGCUGUGUGACCUUAGGUAAAUCUCUUCAGCUUUCUGGGCCAAUCUCUUCCCAUCUCUUCUAAAAUCGUAAUGACCUAUGGAAUAUUUUUGAAUUAUCGACUAUUUCAAAUGAUCCCAAUCCAGCUCCUUGUGAUUAUAAAGGUUAUCAGGAGUUGUUUCUGUGAAAUCUUCCAAAUUCCUUAACAGGUUUUCAUACUUUUUUGGUCUGUGGUCCACCAUAACUGAAUCACCUAAACCACUGUUUUUAUAAUUAAGAUAUCCCUUAAGACACCUUGCCAAAGGAAAGAGGUAAAAUGGCAUAGACUUUUGUGAGAACGUGAUGGAAUAAUAUGUAGGUUUGUGAAAUAUUGGAUGAAAAUUGUUCAUGCCCAAUUAUAGGUGUCACCCACUCACUGAUUUUUGACUUUUUUUUUUUUUCACAAAGCCUUUGAGUAUCUAGUGUGAGGCACGUGUGGUGUCAUUUAUCUGCACAGAUGUUGUAAGAGGUCAGCCAUCCUGUGACUUCCUGGUAGGUUAUAGACAUUAUUUUAAUAACUGUGGCCCAAGGUGAGACAUGAUAGAGAUGUUCUUUAAAUUCCCAUGGUAAAAUUUGCUUCAUGUAAAAGAAGAUGAUGUGGAAGAGGAGGAGGAGGAUGAUAAAGAUUUUUUUAUAAGAUUGACAUGGGCUCUUAAUAUUUCGGUUCAUUAAAUCUUUUAUUAAAUAAUGGAAACAGCUAAGCGGUUGAGUUCUAGUUGAGUUCUAGUGUAAUGGAAGCAGUUGAGUUCUAGUAUAAUGGAAGCAGUUGAGUUCUAGUGUAAUGGAAGCAGUUGAGUUCUAGUGUAAUGGAACUUGAAAUGGUGAGCUCAUUUAUGUUUGAUUUCAAGAUAUAAGUGUAUACUUAUGAGGUCCAUGUAGACUUAACUACAGUCUAGUCCUCGAAGGGAAAAGAACUUCAGGGAUUCCAUAUCUACACAGGCAUUUUUUUUAUUAAAGCAAUAUCAAAAUGUUCAAGAUGGGGUGUUUUCUCCUGUGUUUAUAAUUAUCGACAUUGUGUUAGUUCAAACUUCAUCAUUUCUCACCUGGAUUUUGCUGAUAGCUUCCUAAUCAGUUUCUCUUUCUUGUCUAUGUAAUUUCCAAGGGAUAUUCCUGAAAAGGCAGCCCAUGUGUGCAGUUGCUUAGCUUCAUAUCGCUUAGAGGCUGCCAUUGUUCUCAGGAUCAGUCUAACUUUAGAUGAGCAGCAGUGCUGGUGUGGAGGUCUGGACUAGGUUCAGCACCCUUCACUAUUAUCUCUUAAUUCUUCCCCUCUGCAUCCUUUGCUGUAACUUUAUAAAGCUGCCUGGAAUUUCCUGAGUAAACUCUUCUCUCCUCCCCAUCCCAGGUUUGUGUCUGUACUGUUCCCCUGUCAAGAAAGCUCUUCCUUUUCUUUCCUCCCUGACUUACUCCUCCUGGGUCCUUCAAGACUCAGCCCAAGAGUCACUUUCUCCAAGAAGAUGCACCAGGUCUCAGCUCUUUCUGAGUUCCUCUCUAAAGGAACCAGAACUUUUGAUUGAUUGUUAUAGGUCUGUCUUUCCCAUGAGAUUCAAGGGCAUGUGCAGACAGCAGGCUCUAGAGUUAGGUAACAGAAGGUCAGCUCCUCCAUUUGCUAGAUGUGUCCUCAGGUAAGUUCCUUAACCACUCUGUGCUGCAGUUUCCUCAUCUGUGAAACAGGGAUAAUAAUAGUACCUAUUUCUUAGGGAUAUUGUGAGGAUUGCACAUACACAUUUCAGAUUUUAUUUGUUUAUUUGAGAGAGAGAGAACACAAGCCAGGGGUGGGAGCAGCAGAGGCAGAGGGAGAAGCAGAUUCCCCGCUGAGCAGGGAGCCCAAUGCAGGGCUCAAUCCCAGGACCCUGGGAUCAUGACCUGAGCCGAAGGCAGACGCUCAAGUGACUGAGCCACCCAGGCGUCCCACAAUUCUUUUUUUUUUUUUUAAGGUUUUAUUUAUUUAUUUGACAGAGAGAACACAAGCAGGGGGAGUGGGAGAGGGAGAAGCAGGCUCCCCGCUGAGCAGGGAGCCCAAUGUGAGGCUUGAUCCCGACGUUUAACUGACUGCACCACCUGGGUGCCCCAACACAUAUACAGUUCUUGAAACAAUGCCUGACAAAUAACAUGCUAUCUAAGUAUUAGCUAUUAAUUAGUGGUAGUAGUGGUAGUAAUAGAUGUAAACUCAUUUAGAACAGUGCCAGGCAUGUAGUAACUAUUAAAUUAAUUGUUAGUGAUGAUGAUGAUUAGCUUCACAAGGCAAGUUGACUUGGGAGCCUUGCAGUAAAGGGUAAGGCCUCAGAAUAUAGAGGUUUGGGGUGUCAUUGAGAUAUGUCACUAGGAGGUUGAAUGGUGACUCCUACACUGAAGGAGGCAAUUAUUCCCUGCAUUCCUGGCUCAGAUGCCUAGAAUCUCAGCUCAGGAUAGGUUACUGCAGCUUUGCUAUUGCCCUGGAGAUACUUCUUGGCAAGCAGCAUAGUUCGAGAUAUGCAUAAGAUGGCAGGAACAAAUGUGGUUCAUGGCUGACUCAUUGACCUUGGCAGUGACUGAGAAAGUCACUAUUUAAAAAGCAAUUUUUCCCCCUCUGGUAAGAAGUGAUACUGGUGUUGGAAGGUGGGGAGGGGAGCAACAUAUACUGAAUGAAACCUGCUCUUUGUGAUGUGGCAGAUCUUCUCAGUGUAAAAUCGCUCAAUGAAUUAAACCCGAGGACUGCCUAUUUCCCAUGUUGUUCUGGGGUUCACGGAACAGUUCUAGAACCUGGGAUGUCUAAAUACAUGACCUUCAAAAUAGGAAAGGCUUGCCUGGAGUUCCUUUGCCUCUUUACAGAUGAAGUUGUUUUUGUUUUUGUUUUCUUGCCAUAGCUUUCAUGAUCUCUCGUUAAAAGGAUGAUGAUAAAUGUCACUUUUGUAUGUGUAGGUAUGUGCACAUUCCUUGGAAGGAGAGGUAGGCCUACACAGGAAAGUACAUUAUUUCAUUUCAUUGAGGGUUAAAGGCUUUAGUUCAGUUUUUUACCAGUUGAUUCUGAGAUAGAGCAGUGCUGACCCAGCAAUGGCCACAUGUGUUAGCAAAGGUAUUUCUUUGCAUUUGGUUUGCUGAUCAGUUACCUAAAGAGGUGUAUUCAAAAGAAGGAGCAGAAAGCCAAGUGUGGGAAAUGCAACAGCCAGUUGCCACUCACAGUAUAAUCCAACCAGUAAUGAAAAGCAGUACUACUUACUGUACUUAGUCCUUCAACCAGAUCGGUCAUAUACUUAAUGUACUUGUGGGGUCAGCCAUUUUUGGUAGCCAAAGCUAAAGGAGGACACCCACUCAUUUGCAAGUUAAGCCUCUGAGUGGCCUGAGGAAUUCUUCCCAAGAGUUAUUACAAAGGGAUUUUCAGAACUCAAAGCAUGCCCACACAUUUCGAAAUAAACCAAAUACUGAAACAGCUCUCUUAAUUCAUUCUGGCUAAGAUCAUCAGACCAAACAAAACAGUGAAUUUAUUAGACUUCUUGUGUGACAUAUGUGUUUAGAAACUUUAUUGUGGAGGCUGGAAAUAUAUCUGGGAAGGUAUCAUUUGAUCUUUGAGUCACUGAGGUAUUGAAAAGAUGCUGAACCAAUAGCAGGGAACGAGUGGCAAAAAAGGAUGAGAAAAUAAUUAAUUCUAAUAUUCUGACCUAGCAUUCAUCCAUACAGGACUUCCAGUAGCCACAAAGGAAGCCGUGCCUCUGUUUUAUUCGGUAUGAGAGUUAUAAUUUUAGUGCUUUCUGCUUUUGCUAUACAAUCCAUUAUUUUUAUUGUUCAACUGCUUUUAUGGAGAGCUUCUUGUGUGCAGAGCACUACCUACUGUGUGUAAGAGAAGACAGUAUGCCCAGCAUAUGUGCAGUGUAUAAGGUGACCCCUUAUUGUGUAGCCCAACAUUUCACUUUUUCAUAUUGUUUCUUAAUUGGAACAGACUUGGGAGGGGUAACAGAACCCUUACUUACUACAUUUUACUCUAAUUGUGAAAUUAUAGAAGAAAUACAAAAAGGUUAAUGUGGAAGCAUGAGAAAUUUGAAAUCUCUUGGUAAACUAAUUUCCAUUGACUGUUCUUAAGAAGGAAUGGGUAGGCUACCAACUUUUAAUUUGAGGCUAAGGAAUAUAUUUUGGGAAUGGGCCAUUGGAAAUAGCAUCAUCACCACAAAUUAAACAAAGCUAUUUUAUAUAUCCAAGCUUGGUUUACCAUCUUCCUCAGAAUUUUCUGGCUGACAGAGAUCAGAGCUGAUAAGUCAUGUUAACUAAGUCAUGUUAAACUAGUGUCAACUGAUGCUGAAAAUAUGAGCCAUCUAUAAUUGUCUUCUUCAUAUGAUGGAGAUUUCUUGAAUGAUCAGGAGAUGGGAUUCUUACUGUUUUGAUACCAAAAUAUAUUACUGAGUCACAAAGAAUAGUGAGAUUGAAGCAAAAGACACUAGGAAAUUCUGUUCAGGAUCAGGCACAUCAGAAUUUUCUAGGGCUUGAAUCUGUCAUUACGGACAUUGAUUCUGAUAAAUUUGGAAAUUUUGUAAGCUAGAGAUUUCUACUGUUAGAAUGCAGAAUACACCAGCUUUUACAUUAUGGAAUGGAAAUUCUCCUAUUGGCCAUAUUGCAUAGAGGGCAUGAAUAAAAUAAUAUGAGUAACCACCCCAGUGUUGUUGCCAUUUAUGUUUUACAUGAAACAUGAAACUAAAACACAUCCCCAUUGUGUGCUGGCUUCUCUGCCUAGAGCUGACACUCAGCUCUUAAUAACAGUGCUUUACAUUGUUGGACACUUAUUAUGUGUCAGUCACUGUUAUGAAUUUUACAAGCAUUACCUCACUGAAUCUUCUUAAUAGACUUAAGUGGCAGUUACCAUUAUCAUCUUCAUUUUGCUGAGGAGAACCCUAAGACCCACAAGGUCAGCCAGACAGUAAGUGGCAGAGCUGAUUUUAAACCCAGGUCCAUCUGAGUUCCAAGUGACUGUUCUUAGUUUGAACACAGAACACAUAUGUCAGGAGUCCUAUGCAAGUCCCAAGAUGUACUACCAUUCCCAUGGAAUUCCAUGGUUAAUCUGAGUAUACAUGUUAUUGGCCAGUGGCCCUUCUUGCAGGUCAGCUGUUUACUCUCAAAGCCUGGAAAGUGUAUAUGUUGGGAUCUGAUUUGCCUUGACCCCAUAUCUCUUCUCUCCCCAUGCUUGGAGUCCUUUGUCAUUCCCUGCUUCUACCUUUGGGGACAGUCCUGAACGGAGGAGGUGAGCAUGGACUCCUGCUUCAACCCAGCAUCAGCCAGCACUAGCCAUUUGCAGGAACUGAGGCAAGAUUCGUCUUUCUGAGGCUCAGCCACCAUCCAUAAAGAAGAGGCACACUGGUAUGGAGUCUGUGCCCUCAUUAUGGGCCUUUUAGGUAAGUGGCCUUUCUGUCACUCGUCCCCUAGCUUCUACUCUAUUCUCUACUGCUCGAUGCCAGAAUGACUUCUUCAGACAAGUCAUGUUCCUCUCUUUAUACUCCCCAUGGGUCUUCCACAUUCACUAUAAUAAAACCUAAACUCCCUCAUCUGGCACAUGUGGCCCUUUACUUCCCUACUCUUUCCAUUUGCCUUGCUCUGCUCAUCAUUCUCUCAGUCCCCAGAGUCGUUAUGACACUGUGUCUUUCCUCAGGUUUUGCCAUCUGCAAGUGCCAUUCACUGUCCUUCUCCACUUGGCAAACUCCGACUUCACCUCUCAAUUCAGUGUUGCUUGGCUGGGCCUCUGGAAGAGUUGUAUUGAAGAGAAACAUUUCUGCAGAUGGCUUGGGAUGGGCUACCCACCUGUGUCUACCCACCUGGGUCUGGUAGUGGCAUCCUCUGCAACUAGGAAUUGAGCCAUGGGACAAAAGGACUCCCAAAAUGGAGGCAGGUGGCCAUCUCUAGUUCUAAAUACUCACAGACCAGUGGUGUGGUUUCCUCAGGUAAAGAUGCUCAAGUCUUUACUCUAAGAAGAGUACUUAGGGCCUGGAGUAAGGAGAAAGGGAGGGAACCUAACUAGUUGUGUAGUUUUAAAAUUUUGGCAAAAUCCUUGCCUGCCCUAUUCAAUGAAAAACGUCAUCUUUUGUGCACACCUCAGACUCUGGGAGCAUGACAGGACUUCUGCUCUCUGUGGCUGCCCAAACACCCCAGCAAGUGCUUGAGGGUUACUCCCUCCCCUUCUUCCUCCUUUUCCUCUACUUCUGUAUCUUCCUCAUUCCCUAUAAUUAGCAAUAAUUAUAAUGACAUUUUUAAAUUUACAGAACACUUUCACAUACAUCAUUUCGCCUGCAAAACAACCUUGUGAGGUACAUUGCUAUUAUAUAUCAAUUUUAGGGAUGAAUAAAUUGACAUCCAGAGAAGUUCAAUUAUUUGUUUAAAAUCACAUAGUUGGUAGGUUAUGGAGUUAGGAUUUAAACUAGGUCUUCAGCUCUAAAUCUCAGAGUUGUGUUGUUUGUUUUUAUGAAGUAUUGUGACAUUGAUAUUUAAUUUGGAACUGUGUUUCAAUUUGUAGCAUCUUUCUUGGUAUUAAAAAUUGCUGUUUUACAAACUCUCUUCAAGCAUCUUGCUUUGAUUGCUUUAGAUAAAAAGCCGUUUUAUGUGCCUGCAUGAUAUCCUGUACCAUAACUUGCCAUUGUACUUCCUCCUUGUCUUACAGAUCUCUCUUUGUGUUGGUCUCCCAAGGACUGUGAGCAACUGCAGAGCAGGGUUUAUCACACAUCAUGCCUGAUUUAUCACAUAUCAUCAGGCCCAAGCACACAGGCCUGGUGCAGAAUAACCAUACAAGAUCAACUUCACCAAUGACAUGAUGAGCAGUGACUUGUUAAAGGGAAUCCAGAGUUCUCAGAGGCAUUGUGGAGGUGAGAAUUGAUUUCUGGAUCCUGAGAUCAAGAGGCCCAAGCACCUGCCAUAGAAUUUACUGAAAGACACUGACAGAAGAUGAAGAAGUUACAAGCCUGCAACUGCCUCCAUGAAGAGAAAAUAUUCCUUCUGGUCUGUGAACAGUUUUGAAAUAAAUGGCACGAUAUGAUAUAUGGCUGUUGAAGAUGUUAAGGCUUUAAAAUGGAUGGCGGGCUCUGACAUCAUCUGAAUGAAGAGGAAAUAUAGCCUACCCAAGGGGUGUUUCCAGAAUGAAUGAAAUUUCAAAGUGAAAAUUCUUCCUUGAGAGGAAAGGGUAGAACACAUUUCUGCAUCAAUAGCCAUGGCUGAAGCAAUAGACCGGACUGAUGUCACAGAAGUCUCCAAGAGCAAGGGGACGAAAAUCAGUGAUUUAAAUUCGGCUCAUCUCAACAAGAAUAUACUGAGUGCCUGCUAUGUGCCAGCCACGAUGCUAAGUGCCGAGUGCACAGAAAUGAAGAAGAUGUAACCCACAACUGAUAAAUAAAAAGAGAAAACUGAAAUCCAACUUCAGGGGAGGAAGAAAGUCUCUUACAACAGAAUUAUUGUGUAGUGGCUCCUAUAUCUGCUUAAGGGCAAAUGUUAUUUACUAAACUGAACUCAGUUUAUAGAAGAACAUGAAGCAAUUGUUACCCUGGCCCCAGGGAAUAAAACUUAAUGGCUACUAAUUAGCUGUGUGAUCUUGGAGGAACACAUGACCUUUCUGGAUCAAGGUCAUCUACUCUUAAAUAAGGGGAUUGGACUUUGCUUUCUAAGUUUUCUAUGCUUUCCAAUACUAACAUUUUGUAAUUAUGGGAAUGUGAACUAACUAAACAGUAUUUCUAAGAACCCCCAAAUGUAGAAGAAAUGUCCUAAUUGCUUACGAAGUGUGUUUCCCCUCACAUUUCUGACAUAAUGAGGUAUGAUAGAUACUGUCUUCAUGUUACAGGAUUUAAGAAUCAAUAAAAAAUAUCCAUAAGACUAAUCUAUGUGAGUGGCAAUAACCAAAAUUCUCUGAAGGAAUUUGUUACUGAUGGAUUCUCCCUUUACAACCACUAAAACUGUUUUCCUUUGACUUUUAGUUAUUUAAAACUGUAUUCUGGGGGCACCUGGCUGGCUCAGUCAGGGGAGCAUGUGACUCGAUCUUGGGGCUCUAAGUUUAGGCCCCACAUGGGGUGUAGAGAUUACUUUAAAAAUCUUUAAAGAAAAAGAAAAAACUCUAUUCCGAAUCUCCUGUUGGUGUUGUGCUGCCAUAGUAAUCUUCUUAAAGUAUGCCUGCAUGCUCCCUGGAGAAUGGACAAGGGCUGACCAGAUUGAACCCAAGCAUCUCAAGCUUUGAUUCAAGGCAACAACCUGGUGUUUGCCUUUCUGAUUUCAGAUUAUUAGUCCCCAAAAAGAAUCUGACCUCAUUAGAUCAGGGCCUUCCCCAUAUCCUUCAUAUAACAUCAUUCAAACAUUUUUUUAGCUUCAAUAACCUCUUUCCUCCCUAUACUUCCCAGGAGGUCCAGGUUCAAGAUUCCGCCUCGUUCUUGAAUACUUGUCCCAUACCUAAUUCCACAAAAGUUUUUUCCUCCUUUUUACUCACUCCAACAUUCCUUUAUAUAGUUUAGCUGCUUUAUAUGUGCUCACACAUUUCCUUCAAAUGCUUCUCUUACUUGUCUGUGAACCAUCUGGAUUUUUUCUGUCAGCUAUAAUGGAAAGUCUUCCAGCAUAAACACCAUACAUUCCAUGUUUUUUGUACCUCCCAUCAUGUGUGGCUAAGUGCACAGUGAUGCUUAAUAAAUGCUUAUAAAACUCAAUUGAGAAAAUCUGGAAAUAGCGUUUUAUUUGUCUACCUGAAUUUCAGCAGUGUUUUCUCAUUUCUGUAGCAAUGGAAGAGGCAUGGUGACCAGCACGAACCUGGGAUUUUGAGUCUGAUAGAUCUGUGUCCAAAUCUAAGAUCUGCUGAUUUAUUCUGCCAAUCAUGAAACAUUUAAUGAGCAUCUACUCUGUGGGAGACAUGGGACUAGAUGAUGGAUAAAUAGAUAAAUAGGAUAUAAUCCCUUGCCCUUAAGUUCAGAGUCUAGUAACUGUAUUACUUAAUUUCUCUGAGCUUCAGUUUCUUCAAGUGAAAAUGAGAAUGGUAACUAUUUCACUGAAUUGUAGGUGCUCCAAUAAUUAGUUUUCUCUUCUUCCCUUUUCCUUUUUUCUUGAGGGCCUUAAACUAAGAUAUUAAUUCCUUAAUGGUUCUAUUUUUUCUUCUUUAAAUGACCCUGUUGUGUGUUCAUUUUGUUCUAUAAUUAACCAUUGAUUUGAAUUCAUUUACAUUGUUUAUAAUUUUAGAUCAUAAAUGGCCACAUAAAAAAGGAAUCUAGUCAUUGAUUCUGAGACCAAUCUAAUCUCACUUGUCAGGGAUUAGAUUACCUUUGUGCAUUAUUGUUUAUCUUCUUACAUGAUUGCAUUUGAGGCCCAGCCUCAAAAAGAUAACCUUUUAAAUUCAGGGAAACAAAAAGUAUGCCUCAGAUAUGAAUGAUUCCUCCUUGGCAUGGUAUGGCUUAAGCUCAGACUCAGACUGGUGAACUAGAGGAAUGCAGGUGCCUGCCAGAAAAAGCUGAGAGGAAGACAGGACAUAACGUAGGGAUCAAGUGUAGCUAAGUAGGCCAUGUGAUCAGUGAGAUCACCAUGAGUAAUCAGAAAAAUCAAUCUCCUCUCUAAAUUCUCUAACACCAGCAUAUAUUUCUCCCUUGGAAGAGAGGUUUUGGGAUUAUGUUAGAGAAGAACCUGGUCUACCUGCCAUGCAAACACCAAUUCCUGUUUAUCCCAGAGGAAGAGCCACAGAACCAGAUGCUUUGCUUUGGAACCUUCUGCUUAUGUCACCAAGUAGCACAGCCAAGUUCCUCUAAGAUGCUGAUUUGAUGAAGAGAAGUUCCACUUGCCUCAUAAACCAACCAUAUUGUUAAAUUUUACCUUAAAGAUCUGCUGAAGGUGAUCUUUGAACUUUGAUCCGUGGUACAUGCAAUAAGAAAUCAAACUUGGACACACUGGGAGAAAGGCCUGACUUAAUGAUGAGUCUGAAUCAUAGCAUAAAAAGUGAUGCAGAGAUUUUGUUUCCCAAGUGUAAGAUAAAGAGGUAGAAAUUAUUCUCUUAGUACUAAUCCUUAGUGGUCCUGAGAAUUAACAUAAAUGAAUGAACAUUGUUCCAAAGUACCUAAAAGAGUGGAAGAAAUUGAUAAGUGUCUGAAAGUUGAUUUCCUCAUAUUUGUGACAUUAUGUAUAGAGUUACUUACAAUGCCACUAGCACGUUUGUAGAAAUCUAAAAAUUCAAGUCCUUACUAAUUGCUGAUUACUGUGAUUCUCAGCCAGGUACCAUACCCUUUGGUGCUACCAGUCUGUCUCUUUCAAAGGGAGAUCCAAAGGCUACCCCCUGCCCCCAGCAUGUAAUUAAAGCUCAAAUAUGUGUUAAAUUACAAGUGAGGAUUAAGUAAAAUAAUACACGUAGAACGUUCCAUGGUCUGUAAAUGCUUUUUUUUUUUUUUUAUUAUCAUCAAACUUCUCUUCGUUUCAACACAGCUGUCAUCACUUUCUCAGGGAGGCCUUCCUUGAUUUCCCACCUUAUAACAAAUCUUCAAUUAUGUACUCUGACAGCAACAUAUAUCUUACUUGUAGAAUGUAAAAAGCAUUGUACUUUUCCUGUUUGGUUUGUGAGAUUAUUUGAUUAUCAUCUCUCACCGAAUUAGGCUCUCAGCUCUAUUAGAAGACAAGGCUCACCUUUGUUUUGCUAACUCCUGUAUGCCUACUAGGCCAGCACAGUGCCUGGCACUUUGUGGGCGCACAAGACAUACUAUAUUUAUUGAAGAAAGCAGAGAAAAGAAUAAAGAGGAAUAAAAAUACAAACGUUUUCAAUAACUUGAACUAGAGUAGGAAAUCCUGCCAAGCAGAAUUCAGACGGUAUGUCUGGAUGAAUCAAUGAAAACAAUUUGUCACUAUCAUGGAGCUUCUCCAUAUGUAAAUGACAUCUGAGAGGAGAUACAGUGUUGCCUGUUACAAUUUAGGUUGAAUUUCUAGCCCUAGAUUCUUCUAAAAUUAUUUCAGGCUUUUACCAGUCUUAUUGUUCUUACAAGUAAGACUAAUAUCAAAGCAGAGAUUUAUCUAAAGAGGCAUACACAGCAGUCCCGUCCCCCCCGCCCCCGGCACCUAGAAUAACAAUAUUAAACAGUUGGGUACUGAUUUGGGCUCCAUGUUUCCUGAGAGCUCGGGCAAAAGGGGAAACAUGUAUUUUCACACAGUUUUCUCUUUCUGACCAAGAAAACCAUUCAGAUUCAUCAGCAGACAUAUAUUUUCCUGGCACAAACUCAAGCAGAAAUUUCUGAGCAGUGGCUCACAGUUUGUUCCAGCAGGGGUUAGGAUGCCAUUACAUUCAAGCAAAACUCUUCCACAUUUUGAAUUUUGUUUACAGUCCCUUCUCUAGAGAAUACCAAACCAAUGUCAUCCCAAGAGGAUGGAACUCUUUUGCUUUGGUUUAAUGCCUUGAAUUUCCUUGACUUCUCCCAAGCUCUCAAAGCCCUUAGAACUGCCUCCAGUCUUCUGUGCCAUGAAAACUUGAGGCUGAGUGAAAAUGCCUCCCUCUAGGCCUGCCUUCACAUGCACUGUGAAUACUCAUCUGCUGUUGACAUUUGAAUAUUUCCUGUGACAACAGCAUAUACUAUCAGUAUUUUAUUAAGCAAAAGCAAGUAUGUUUUUCCUCUUUUCUCUGUUAUUUAUUUAUCUACCAUCUGGCUAGAUCAGAAGAUGAAGUCUGGAAGGAAAUUUUUCCUUCUUCUUUUGGCUAAUGAGAGUCUGGCAGAGGGGUGGAAUAAGCCAGAGGCUGGAUGAAAAUCUCUAGAUCAGGUGAAAGGAAAUCAGCCCUUCCCUGAUGUGGCAGGUGAGCCACCCAAAGGCAACUUGCAUAGUUAACAGGCAGUUACGAAGGUCUACACUUGGAAUGAUGGGGAGCCUGAUGUGUUCAGGCUAUCUGCUGCUCUGCCAACUGGUUUGUUGCAAGGUGCUAUCUCAGAUACUCUGCCACAGUGGCACAGAUGGGACUUCUCAGACAUCUGGGCUGUGGGUAUCAGGAGUGAAGAACGGGCAAGAACAAGCCAUGAUACUAGGUGAGGGGAUGUGAGGGUUCCAGUUAAAUCCAUUAAAUUCACUUCCCUCUUUUAAAAAUAAUUUUUAUCUCAAUUGGGUCAAAUAUACAGUAAGUGAAUUAUGAAGUGUUAUAAAUUAGGCCAACCUACUAGGUCUGCAGAAACUAAAAGGCUUAAUGCUACAUUUAAAUAAAUUACUGCCAAUUUUUUUUCUAAUCUCUUAGGACUCUUUCCUGUGCUUGCAAAUAGGAAAAGGGGAGAGAACAAUCUAAGCAGAUGAGGCAGAAAUCCAUAUUAGAAGAAAGGAAAUUUAAUAAGCCUUUUGGUCUCUUUUCAGUUAUUUUCUGUUGUUUAGGAAGAAAACUGAUCUCUGGUCCUGCUAACAUUCUUUUAGCUUUUCUUGCUUAAGGUCAUGUCUAGUGGCCACCCUGGAAGAUUUUGACUAGGUAAAUGCCAUUUCUUGCACACUGGAAAAGGCAGAAGUUUUUGUACUUAAGGUUAAUCUUAUCUCCCUUAAUUUGUUAUUUUGAAAUGUACCUUUUUCAAAUGAAGCCUCAGAUCAUAAGAAAAAAUGAGCAAAGGCUUAUAGCCGCACAACAUGUGGCUAAUAGAGAAGAACCCAUCCAGAUGAACCCACCUUGCCUAGGCAGAAUCCUACCAGCUGGCUAUUGAAAAUCAACCACUACCUAUGGAACUUGGUAGCACCAAACUGAAACACACACGUCCUGGGAAAUCCCAUCAAGGUAUUCUAGACCCCUCAGGUGGGUGUUUGGCAUGUUUUCCAACUUAAGGGUAACCCUUGCCUUGAUGCCAUUUGAACGAUGUAAUACCUGGCAAAGCCCUUAAGACUGAAAUGUGUCUUUAAGAGAGAAGAUUAUCCUUCCAGCAUGGUAGAGUUUUUCAACUAGAGGCAAUUUUUCUACCUUCCAGGAAACAUUUGGCAAUAUCUGAAGACAUUCUUUGUUGUCACAACUGGGACAAGAGGCCAGGGAUGCUGCUAAACAUCCUACAAUGCUUAGAACAGUCCCUACAACAGAGAACGAUCCAGCUCUAAGAGAAUCUUACCCCCAGUAUGUGGGAACGUAAGAUCCUUCUGUACUCAUAAGAGGCCAUUCUCACCUUAAAAAAGAUUUCAGUGAUGUCUUCAGUACAGAGAGGAGUUCUCACUCUUCUCUGAGGACUCUAAUGUUCCAUGGGGACUUCAGGUAGUAAAUGUGAUUUCAGAUGAUUGAUUUUAGAAAAGAGGAGUCUUCCAAACCAUUUUUCUUGACCUUGUCCUUAAUCUUGAUUUGCCCUGUAGGUUACUCUUAUCAUAAAGACAGUAUGAAUGACUGUCUCAGUGCCUUUCCUCAUUAAUGCUGAUGGAAAUUGAUGAGUAGCUCUCUGGAACUGUGGGGUUUUUGGCAAGAAUUAUAGCCCCUAUUUAUUUUGGAGGACCCGUGCAGCUUUCUAAGUAAAUAUAUGUAGAAAAUUUCCCCCAAAAUAAACAGUACAAGUAAUUGCCUGAUGUAUGAAGUUGACAUUUUGGCUUUGUGAUUUGCUCUGAUAUGUAAAAAUCUAAUUUUCUUCAUGGAAUGAUGCCACUGCAAAAUUGUGAAUAAAUUAGAAUCAGUGGUUUACUUAGAAUGUGAGUAAUAGCUUCUGUUAUGAUGUAUCAAUAUUUAUUUACAGUUUCUUAAAUUUACCCACAUCCACUUGGCAAAUGUUAAAUACAUGAGUAAAUAUGGCAGCACAGUGAUGGAAGCUUGAGUUCUCUUCUGAUCUCAUGUGACAGAAAUCUCUUCAAAAAUGUAUUUGAUGAUUGAAGUUUUGAGAUCUUGUGUAUACAUACUUUCUUUGAACUGAAAGAAAAUAAGUUCACCAGUUUAUAAUAAAUUCAAAGUUUAUCUAAAUUAAAAGCUCUUACUCUUUAUCAUCUGAUCAGUGAGACAAGAAGCUGAUAAUCACCCUAAGGAGUGCUUCUUUGAACACUGAUUGCUCCAUCUGGAUAUUCUCAAUCAGUAUAUAAGGAAUUAGAAUGUUAUAGCAAACAGCCAAACCAAUGGAAAAAAUCUCUCAGAUGUACAUUUGUAAUUAUUUGUAUUAUUACAUUUGUAAUAAUAAAAAAAAGUUUCAAAUUAGAUGUAAUAAUUUCUCCAAGUAAAUAGUUAACAAAAAGUUGUUCAUUGUCACCCCUAAACAGAAAACAAGAGUUUUUGCAAGUUUAGGUUAGUCUGCUAUAAGCUCUUGUUAACAUUCCAAAAUUGGAAACCUCUCACACAGAAGCUGAUGUUUAAAAAAAAACACUUCAAGCUUUUAUAAAAUGGUACUUAUAAAGGCCAAGGGUCUAGAAAUUAUAUGCAGUCAUUUUUAUGGGCUGAUUUACAAGUAGAAUAAAUUACCUUGGAUAUCAGUGUUUCCUUCCUUUAAAUUUAUUUCAGAAGUAGUAUGUGAGUAAGUGGAUCAGGAUGCUUAUCACAGUACUCCUUUUGUGAUAAAAUGUUAGAAAUAAAUGUUCAAAAUUACAGAAUUAAACAAAUUUUAGUGUCUAUAUGAUAGAAUAUUAUGCAGCCACUAAAAAUGAUAAUAUAAAACAAUACUGAUGUGAGACAAUGAUGAUGAACUAGUCAGUGAAAAAAAACUUGCCAGCAGCAUGUAUUAUAUUGUAUAAUUUUUGAUAAACAGUUGACCCUUGAAAACAUGGAUUUGAAGUGCACAGGCCCACUUGCAUGUGGAUUU